rnacentral:rRNA from 1 species
UACGUAGGCAGCGAGCGUUGUUCGGAAUUACUGGGCGUAAAGAGUGUGUAGGCGGUGCUCUAAGUCUGUCGUGAAAUCUCCCGGCUUAACUGGGAGGGUGCGGCGGAAACUGGAGUGCUAGAGGGUGGGAGAGGAAAGCGGAAUUCCUGGUGUAGCGGUGAAAUGCGCAGAUAUCAGGAGGAACACCCGUGGCGGAAAGCGGCUCUCUGGGACGGUACUGACGCUGAGACGCGAAAGCGUGGGGAGCAAACAGG